UAACCUGCCCAAGAGAUCGGGAUAACACCUGGAAACAGAUGCUAAUACCGGAUAACAACAGAUGAUGCCUAUCAACUGUUUAAAAGAUGGUUCUGCNUAUCACUAUUGGAUGGACCUGCGGUGCAUUAGCUAGUUGGUAGGGUAACGGCCUACCAAGGCGAUGAUGCAUAGCCGAGUUGAGAGACUGAUCGGCCACAUUGGGACUGAGACACGGCCCAAACUCCUACGGGAGGCAGCAGAA
rnacentral:rRNA from 1 species